UACGAAGGGGGCAAGCGUUACUCGGAAUUACUGGGCGUAAAGCGUGCGUAGGUGGUGAGUUAAGUCUGAUGUGAAAUCCCCGGGCUCAACCUGGGAAUGGCAUUGGAUACUGGCUCGCUAGAGUGCGGUAGAGGGUGGUGGAAUUCCCGGUGUAGCAGUGAAAUGCGUAGAGAUCGGGAGGAACACCAGUGGCGAAGGCGGCUGCCUGGACCAGCACUGACACUGAAGCACGAAAGCGUGGGGAGCAAACAGG
rnacentral:rRNA from 1 species